rnacentral:rRNA from 1 species
CGCAAGCCUGACGGAGCAAUACCGCGUGGGGGAUGACGGUCUGUGGAUUGUAAACCCCUUUUCUCUAGGAAGAAGUUCUGACGGUACUAGAGGAAUCAGCAUCGGCUAACUCCGUGCCAGCAGCCGCGGUAAGACGGAGGAUGCAAGCGUUAUCCGGAAUUAUUGGGCGUAAAGGGUCCGCAGGUGGCUAUUCAAGUCUGCUUUCAAAGAGUGGAGCUCAACUCCAUAGAGGGAGUGGAAACUGAGUAGCUAGAGUAAGGAAGGGGUAAGAGGAAUUCCCAGUGUAGCGGUGAAAUGCGUAGAUAUUGGGAAGAACACCAGCAGCGAAGGCGUCUUACUGGUCCUUAACUGACACUGAUGGACGAAAGCUAGGGGAGCG